AUGUGGAUGAAGAUGGCGACUUGCAUUCGUAAGGUGGCUUUAGAGGAGUUUGGAGUGACCAGGGGAAGUAGAAGCGAAGCUAAAGAUACCCGGUGGUGGAACGAUGUUGUCCAGAAGGCUAUUAAGGAGAAGAAAGACUGUUCUGGACAACUACACAUGGAUAGGAGUGUAGACAACAUAGAGAAGUACAAGGUGGCAAUGAAGGCUGCAAAUCGAGCUAUGGGUGUAGCAAUGGAUCAGGCGUUUGAGGGGCCUCUAUCAGCGCUUAGACACGAAGGAAGGCGGAAUGGACAUCUAUAA
rnacentral:rRNA from 1 species